GCGGAAGGCCCUUCGGGGUACUCGAGCGGCGAACGGGUGAGUAACACGUGAGCAACCUGCCCCUGACUCUGGGAUAAGCCCGGGAAACUGGGUCUAAUACCGGAUACGACCGCCUCCGGCAUCGGGUGGUGGUGGAAAGUUUUUCGGUUGGGGAUGGGCUCGCGGCCUAUCAGCUUGUUGGUGGGGUAGUGGCCUACCAAGGCGACGACGGGUAGCCGGCCUGAGAGGGCGACCGGCCACACUGGGACUGAGACACGGCCCAGACUCCUACGGGAGGCAGCAGUGGGGAAUAUUGCGCAAUGGGCGGAAGCCUGACGCAGCGACGCCGCGUGGGGGAUGACGGCCUUCGGGUUGUAAACCUCUUUCAGCAGGGACGAAGUUGACGUGUACCUGCAGAAGAAGCGCCGGCUAACUACGUGCCAGCAGCCGCGGUAAUACGUAGGGCGCAAGCGUUGUCCGGAAUUAUUGGGCGUAAAGAGCUCGUAGGUGGCUGGUCGCGUCUGCCGUGAAAGCCCGCAGCUUAACUGCGGGUCUGCGGUGGAUACGGGCCGGCUAGAGGUAGGUAGGGGCAAGUGGAAUUCCUGGUGUAGCGGUGAAAUGCGCAGAUAUCAGGAGGAACACCGGUGGCGAAGGCGGCUUGCUGGGCCUUACCUGACGCUGAGGAGCGAAAGCGUGGGGAGCGAACAGGAUUAGAUACCCUGGUAGUCCACGCUGUAAACG
rnacentral:rRNA from 1 species